AUUGAACGCUGGCGGCAGGCCUAACACAUGCAAGUCGAGCGGUAGCACAAGGGAGCUCGCUCCCCGGGUGACGAGCGGCGGACGGGUGAGUAAUGUCUGGGAAACUGCCUGAUGGAGGGGGAUAACUACUGGAAACGGUAGCUAAUACCGCAUAACGUCGCAAGACCAAAGUGGGGGACCUUCGGGCCUCACGCCAUCGGAUGUGCCCAGAUGGGAUUAGCUAGUAGGUGGGGUAACGGCUCACCUAGGCGACGAUCCCUAGCUGGUCUGAGAGGAUGACCAGCCACACUGGAACUGAGACACGGUCCAGACUCCUACGGGAGGCAGCAGUGGGGAAUAUUGCACAAUGGGCGCAAGCCUGAUGCAGCCAUGCCGCGUGUGUGAAGAAGGCCUUCGGGUUGUAAAGCACUUUCAGCGAGGAGGAAGGCGUUAAGGUUAAUAACCUUGACGAUUGACGUUACUCGCAGAAGAAGCACCGGCUAACUCCGUGCCAGCAGCCGCAGUAA
rnacentral:rRNA from 1 species